UGGGGAAUUUUGGACAAUGGGCGCAAGCCUGAUCCAGCAAUGCCGCGUGCAGGAUGAAGGCCUUCGGGUUGUAAACUGCUUUUGUACGGAGCGAAAAGGCUUCCACUAAUACUGGGGGCUCAUGACGGUACCGUAAGAAUAAGCACCGGCUAACUACGUGCCAGCAGCCGCGGUAAUACGUAGGGUGCAAGCGUUAAUCGGAAUUACUGGGCGUAAAGCGUGCGCAGGCGGUCUUGUAAGACAGGUGUGAAAUCCCCGGGCUUAACCUGGGAACUGCACUUGUGACUGCAAGGCUGGAGUACGGCAGAGGGGGAUGGAAUUCCGCGUGUAGCAGUGAAAUGCGUAGAUAUGCGGAGGAACACCGAUGGCGAAGGCAAUCCCCUGGGCCUGUACUGACGCUCACGCACGAAAGCGUGGGGAGCAAACAGGAUUAGAUACCCUGGUAGUCCACGCCCUAAACGAUGUCAACUGGUUGUUGGGUCUUCACUGACUCAGUGACGAAGCUAACGCGUGAAGUUGACCGCCUGGGGAGUACGGCCGCAAGGUUG
rnacentral:rRNA from 1 species